CCUGAAACUUCUCGUCGUAAAUGUGCACUGCACCUGUAAACAAUUGCAAAUCGUUUCUGGCGUCCGAUUUUAAUAAGAUGACGAGCCUAUAGAAAUCUAGCGGACAAAUUGCUGGCACAAGGACAGGCCCGGUCUUCGUCGAUUCGAUGGCAGGACGAGAGGAACAGGUGCGAUUAAAGCCGGUCUCACACGCCUGGCAUUCCGCUGACAAACGCGUCGGCCAGGUGACUCGAUUCAUGCGCGUAAAUCACGCGGGCCAAACGGGUUUUCGGCCAGUUUAACUCUACUCCGAUUUAACUUGCGGUUUGCGUCCACGUUUAGCGGACAGGUUGGCGUUUAAGCGCGCGAAUAAAUUCGACACGAAUGAUGUACGUGGACGUCCGCCACGACCUAACCUCCACUCGUUUCUCAUUUCGUCGCGUUUAAAGUUUCGUCCACAAGAGCGAGCACUGUGCGUACGAUCGGACCACCAUAAGUCAAACACCGCUGAAAAUCGCUUAAUGUGAUCAAACGAGACGAUUCGACGUAGGCGAUGGAAUAUUCGUUGAUCGAAACGAUGUGAUCAAGGAUUGAAAAAAAAAAAAAAAUAUAUAAGAUGAUUCUUUGAUCGAUCGUUUAGUGCGAGUACCUCGGUAAUAUUCUAUCGGGUUGGCGACUAAGUGAUUGCGGAUUUUGUCAUUAGGUGGCAUUGACUUAGUUGCCAACCUAAUAGAUUUCGAUUGAUCGCGAUCUGACUGUAGUUUUGAAUCAGGUUUAGCCGAGGAAUAAGUCGAGGAAGAAUAAUUUACGAAAUAAAGUGGAAAUAACGUGGUGGCGAGGCGAGAAAUCUCGAUGAUCUACAUAUAUUGGAUAUAUGUUUUGAUAUUGGGUUUCUGGGAUAAUCGCGUUUGGAGUACGCAGUUGCAUUUUGCUCUCGAAAAGCCACAGUAUCGAGAUAUGUCAGGAGCAUCGUGAAAGUCGUUAUUUUUGUUAGUUGCACGAACCUGAAUUUUCUGCAUCUACAAACGCGAGGAUAUAACAUUGGGUUGUGAAUAUUCCAAUAUGAAUCUGAACACGUAACACGAUUCCCUAUAGUGGAAAAUAAAUGUCGAUUCGAAUUUGAGAAUUCUUCAAAGGAUAUUUUUAUUAAAGAAGUUACUUUUUACCAAGCAACGUACGAGUGAUAAAUUUUCAGUGGAAAUUGCGGAUGUAAACUUCACAAAUAGAAACGAUAGGUUUUCAGUUCUUAGAAGAUGUUUAUACUUUGUAAAAAUUAUUGAAGAGCAUUUGAAACGCAGGUGAUCGAUUCUUCAAGUUCAAGAUUAUCUAUUUGAUGGCGCCAGAUACCUAUUCGACCGACACCUCGCAUCCAGCCGAUCAACGUUGAAAAAUCAAGUCCACGUUGAGAGAUUAACUUCAAAUUGAUCGAUAACAGAUUAUACGUUCAAUCGAUAAGCUAACAAAAAUUUCGCCACCGCUGAGCGUCGAAGCCUUAGAGAAGCGCAAAAAUUGGCAAUUUGACACCUGAAAAUCUUCAGUCUCCAAUUUGUUACGUUCGGUUGAAAUUACGCACGGUUGCGUGUUAGGUUGUCCGAGAAGUUUCUUUCGUUUUGUAAGGAAAUAAUAGACGCACAAUGUUAUUUGUUUUAUAUUAAUUUAUUGAAUUAUGCACGAACGUAAUAAUAGAAAUAGAACGAAAUGGAUCACAGGUAAUUCAGUAAAAUAAUGUAAAACAGAAAUUCUUGUUCAUUUAUUGUCAUCUUAUGAAGCGAAAGAAACUUUUCGGACAACCUAAUGUAUAUCGUUUUCGGUGCAAAUUACGAAUUUCCGACUUGGUCAAAGAAGAUUCGAAGAUAUUCGGAGGAAUUCUCUGCUUUGGAGAUAUGAAUCUUAGAACAGGAAAUGGAUACUCAAGUACACAUUUAAGUUUCUUUGUAAAAAUUGCAAUUUAGCUUCUAUGUACGUGCGCAGUAGCGUAUAUUUUGUUUAUUUUUUAUUUUUUAAGGAAGAGAACUUCGCUCGGGCGCAUACGUAAUAUAUUUAAUAUUUUUUAACCCAAUUUAGCCCAAUGAUUCGGGGCCAAGUAUUCGCAAAAUGGUAAAAGAGGAUCGGAAGCUGUAGGAAAUGGUAAAAAGCGAGAAAAGUGCGACGAGGAGUCGGAUUUUAAACGAGAGAGAAGACAACGCGAACGAUCAGGUGGCCGCUAACUCCGUUUCGGAAUUCGAGUGAAAAAUUUCACGUAGUUGCAACUGUCCGACGAUAUUGAAAAUUGGAGGAGAUUAGAAAAUAAUAUAAAUCAGUUGACUGUCUGCUAUAAAUAUAGGUGGCGUAUGAAAUCGAGGAUACACACGGAGCAGGCGAGUCUGGUGAAAUUCGGAACAGAUCCGUCCGUCUUGACAAGUGGAAAUCCAGCUGCUUUCCAUUUCUAACGAUCACCGAUCGGAGACCAAUGGUUACGAGGCUCUGUCAACCACGAAAACCGAUUUCUAUUUUCUUCUCCGGCCACUUCCACCUGUCGAUCGAAACUUACGACACUUUCGACCAUCGACGAUUUCUAACAGGACGAGGAAGAGGAAGAGAAGAGCCGUGGAACGUCUCUUCCAGUUGGAGCGUACAAGAUCGAUACGGUUUCUUCUUCUUUUAAUCGUCGCGUUUCGAUGAAUGACAAUAUUUUUUCGAUUACGUUCGCGUUGUUGAUUCAGCAGAGUUCAGAGAAACGUACGCCAUCGUUAGAAACGAUGACAACGCUCCUACGUCGAUUAUGUCGAACAGGACUUCUGCAAAGUCUCUUCGACCAAAGAUUCCAUUAUUCUCGACGAUUCUCCGAAACGAUCGUUUCGUAGUUUUCGUUUAUUCGAAUUCGAUCAGUUUGUCGAUCCGUUCGGAUCACUGCAAUUUUAAGUUUCCGUAGACCGAACUCGUGAGAAAAAAGUCUAUGCAAACGGAAAUCGGUAAACGCGUUCGAUGAUAAAAAUUGGCGGCAAAUUUACAAUGUUCAAAAAUUGUAUAAUAUGUUACGAAGAGAACGAAGUUGAGCGCGAAAUUAGACUGAAGCAAUCGAACGUAAAAUUCAAAGUUACGCGUUGUUUGUAGAGGGUUCAGUGCGAAGAUAUUUUUUACGAGGUGGUUCGUGAGAUUUUUUACAAUUUUCCAUCGAGAAUGAUGUUUGAUUAUCGACAUUUGUUUCUCGAAGUUAUCAGAGAUUUCGGUCGUUCGACGCGGAAACGAUCGAGAGAGCGAAAAUUGAAAAUGAUCGAAGAAAAAUGUUGACGAGUGACGAAACGAUGUUGCGAAAUCGAUUUAUGAACGCUGCCGGUUUAUUAAAGAAAUAUUUAAGAAUAUUGACCGCUGAUCGGCCUUCGGUCACGAAAAUUGAUUUCUGUUCCGUAUUCCUCGAACCGAAAACAUUCUUCGAAUCGUAUAUUCGAUCGAAGAAUCAAAUCGAAUUGAAAACACUUUUGGUAAUUGUUGAACAAAUACGAACGACACAGGUUUUCAUCGAUAAUUUCAAAUUUUGUGCCAAGUGAAAAAAUUUCAAUCUCGCUGUGAUCGAAUUUCGUCAAUAUUUUUCAUACCAAACAGCGUUCUUCGCUCCAUUGAGAAAUUUCAUUCAAAAUAAAAGGUUAGUCGACGAUCGAAUAAUCUCCUCAAACUUAUCAACGAAAAUCAAAAUUGUUAACAAUGUUGCUAUUUCGUGCAACCUUCAAGUCCGCCUUCAAGUUCUAAUUUAGGUACUCGUACUUUAAAUGCUCGGUUGCCAAUGUACGAUAACGUGAAUCGACUGUAAUUUCUAAAAAAUGUUCACCUAACCUCAACUGUAAGAAAAUCAUUUUCAAACUUCAUCCAAUAAACUAUCAUCGUCCGGUUAAAGAAAACAAAGAUUUCUAUAAACUGUUCACCUAACCUCAACUGUAGAUAAAUCACCC